GGAGGGGCUUGCGUACCAUUAGCUAGUUGGUGGGGUAACGGCCUACCAAGGCGACGAUGGUUAGCGGGUCUGAGAGGAUGAUCCGCCACACUGGAACUGGAACACGGACCAGACUCCUACGGGAGGCAGCAGUGAGGAAUAUUGCGCAAUGGGGGAAACCCUGACGCAGCGACGCCGCGUGAGUGAAGAAGGCCUUCGGGUUGUAAAGCUCUGUCAGCAGGGAAGAAAUGGCGUAUGGCUAAUAUCCAUAUGUUUUGACGGUACCUGCAGAGGAAGCACCGGCUAACUCCGUGCCAGCAGCCGCGGUAAUACGGAGGGUGCGAGCGUUAAUCGGAAUCACUGGGCGUAAAGGGCGCGUAGGCUGUUGAUCAAGUCAGAUGUGAAAGCCCGUGGCUUAACCACGUGAAGUGCAUCUGAAACUGGUUGACUUGAGUACUGGAGGGGAAGGUGGAAUUCCCGGUGUAGAGGUGAAAUUCGUAGAGAUCGGGAGGAAUACCGGUGGCGAAGGCGACCUUCUGGACAGAUACUGACGCUGAGGCGCGAAAGCGUGGGGAGCAAACAGGAUUAGAUACCCUGGUAGUCCACAGCUGUAAACGUGCUGCACUAGAUGUAGGGGGGAGUUGACCCUCCCUGUGUCGCAGCCAACGCAUUAA
rnacentral:rRNA from 1 species